rnacentral:rRNA from 1 species
AGAUUGAACGCUGGCGGCAUGCCUAACACAUGCAAGUCGAGCGGCAGCGCGGGGGCGACCCUGGCGACGAGCGGCGAACGGGUGAGUAAUACUUCGGAAUCUACCCACGGGUGGGGAAUAACCAGCCGAAAGGUUGGCUAAUACCGCAUACGCCUCCGGGGAAAGGACGGGGAGGUCGAAGAACCUCCGCGCCGGUCGGAGUGAGCCGAACGUCGGAGUUAG